rnacentral:rRNA from 1 species
AUUGAACGCUGGCGGCAGGCCUAACACAUGCAAGUCGAGCGGUAGAGAGGUGCUUGCACCUCUUGAGAGCGGCGGACGGGUGAGUAAUGCCUAGGAAUCUGCCUGGUAGUGGGGGAUAACGUCCGGAAACGGACGCUAAUACAGCAUACGUCCUACGGGAGAAAGCAGGGGACCUUCGGGCCUUGCGCUAUCAGAUGAGCCUAGGUCGGAUUAGCUAGUUGGUGAGGUAAUGGCUCACCAAGGCGACGAUCCGUAACUGGUCUGAGAGGAUGAUCAGUCACACUGGAACUGAGACACGGUCCAGACUCCUACGGGAGGCAGCAGUGGGGAAUAUUGGACAAUGGGCGAAAGCCUGAUCCAGCCAUGCCGCGUGUGUGAAGAAGGUCUUCGGAUUGUAAAGCACUUUAAGUUGGGAGGAAGGGUACUUACCUAAUACGUGAGUAUUUUGACGUUACCGACAGAAUAAGCACCGGCUAACUCUGUGCCAGCAGCUGCAGUAACAC